rnacentral:rRNA from 1 species
AUUGAACGCUGGCGGCAGGCUUAACACAUGCAAGUCGAACGAGUGGCGGACGGGUGAGUAAUGCUUGGGAAUCUAGCUUAUGGAUGGGGAUAACUACGGGAAACUGUAGCUAAUACCGCGUACCAUAGGAUGAGCCCAAGUGGGAUUAGCUUGUAGGUGAGGUAACGGCCCACCUAGGCGACGAUCCCUAGCUGGUCUGAGAGGUUGAUCAGCCAACCUGGGAAUGAGACACGGCCCAUACGCCUACGGUAGGCAGCAGUGGGGAAUAUUGCACAAUGGGCGCAAGCCGGAUGCAGCCAUGCCGCGUGUAGGAAGAAGGCCUUCGGGUUGUAAAGUACUUUCGGUAGCGAGGCGUUAACGACAGAAGAAGCACCGGCUAACUCCGUGCCAGCCGCCGCGGUAAUUC